rnacentral:rRNA from 1 species
AUGGUUCGCCUGAACCACCGGCGCCUGGAGGGAGGACGCGGAGGCGAGCGCGCGCCCACCGGCUUCGUGCGGACGCCGCAGGGCCCAUCGGCAUCGCCGUGGCCUCACCAGGGCGCAUCCCGCCACGGCAGCGUCUUCGCCCGGCCAGCGCUGACUACGUGUCUCUACGCACCUACACCCUCGCCGGCGACCGCGUCGUCGCAGGCGGGCCAUCCCACGGCGGAGAAGGCGCAGGUCUCCAAGAAGGGUCGCGCGCACGCCGCGCGUCCCGUGGCCAGGACCGUCAGGAAGGUGAUGAUCUGUGCGAAGCGCUUCCUCUUCGACGGCGCCGGCAGCAAACUGUUCCAUUACGAGUUGGUGUCCUCAAUGGAGUGGCCAAAUAUCAUCAAGCAUAGAGGUCUUGUCUCCAACAGCAGGCAGUCUGUUAGAGACGUGAUAUCAUCAUCAUCAUCAUCAUCCUCUAACAGGAUGAUGAAGGGGACAUCUAAAAUUCAGGUUAUUGUCCAAAUUGACAACUUUGGCUCUCUUCCGUUGCCCUUUGAAGACGGUUGUACAAUUCAAGAGAUCGUCUCUGCAGCUUUUCGUAAGCGAAAUGUUUGCAUCCCGGAUGCCGUUCUGAGGUUUAAUGGACGCAAUGCUUAUCCUGAGGAUCGGGUGUGUUCUUUGAACACUGGUAACAGUAAAGUGUGUACUCUCUACAUCCGUCCUCGGCUGCGGGGUGGACAACCACCUUCGCCUUCUAGCUCCAUUCCUCCAGUUCGUGAGCUAUUUGCACUAUAUCUAUCGUCGCUAGGCGAUGAUCUAUUCGAUGUGGUAACUCCCCCUCAAGAUCCGGAUUUAUUCUUUAUUGGCAUGGAGAGAUACUUCAUAUCUCUAGGGUUCACAGCAAUACAGAUUACUAUAAUGCUAUUUGAACUUCUGGAGAAUUUCCAUGAGCGGCCCGAGUGUGUUUCAAGAUUCACCUUGGCCGAUCUGGACUAUGAUAGUAGUUCGAAGAGGUUAAUGUUCAGAGACACGGUAGGCCUGGUUCCUUUUGAUCUCGCAACCUACUAUCAGAACAUGUCGGAUGCUGGCGGUAUCGUGUCUGCAAUAUUCCAGUUCGACGAGUUAAAGGUUCUUGGUUGUAGACGUGGGAUACACCUACCGCCUGGGACCGUCAGAAACAACCACAGCAGACUUCCAAAACUAGUUCAGUUUUUGGUUUAUGAUCUGCAGACUGGAGUGAGAGCAUUCCCGGGUGCAGGCACCAACAAGCGUAAAAGGGCGUACUUUCGCUGCCAUGUAGCAGUGAUGACUCCGGCUCAAAGGCUUGCUUUCUGGAUGACUUCUGAGCUGCAUUUUGACUAUAUUGGCGAUGAAAGACAGUUGGAUUAUUAUUUGGCAGUAAAAUUUGUACCGGAUUGGUCUACUCAGGCAACUCGAUCAACUGCAAUGAAGAAGGUAUAUGACUGGCGAACAUACGAUGCAUGCUCCCUAGGCCAUCAAUGGUCAAUUGCACGUAAUUGGCUAGCUCAUGCUAAACUCAAGCUAACCCAAAAGAUUACAGAAAAGCAGGCUGAGGCUUAUCUGCACAUGAUCUUUGAGUGUUUGAUGUACUACGUGUUGCUUAGGAUCUUCUUUGACAAAAUGGUGAUCAAUUGGAACACGCGCCCAAUACCAGAGGCGCAGCCGCCGCCGCCGCCGCCGUAUUUCAGGACACCACGUGUUGGUCCACCAUUGAGGGUCAACAACCAUUUCACACUUUAUCAGUUAGUCGACAUGGCUGGCUCGCUGUAG